GUUUAUCAAAAACAUCGCCUCUUGAACAAUAUUGGAGGUACUGCCUGCUCAAUGCUCUUGUAAAUAGCCGCAGUAUUUUGACUGUGCUAAGGUAGCAUAAUCAUUAGUCUUUUAAUUGAAGGCUGGUAUGAAUGGCAAGACGAGAAAAAAGCUGUCUCUAUCAAAAAUCUUGAAUUUCAUUUUUUAGUGCAAAAGCUAAAAUAAUUUUAAAGGACGAUCAGACCCUAUGGAGUUUUAGUUUUUAUUAGUAGUGUAUUAUUUUUUGAUAUUUGCUAUUAAUAAAGACUUUUGUUGGGGCGACAAGAAGUUAAAUGUAACUCUUCUUAAAUUAAACUAAUUUAAAAGGAUACUUGAUCCCUAAAGGGGGAUUAAAAGACUAAGUUACCCUAGGGAUAACAGCAUAAUCUUUUUGGAGAGUUCUUAUCGAUAAAAAGGUUUGUGACCUCGAUGUUGGAUUAAGAGUUUAGUGGGGGGCAGUAAUUCCACUGUAAAGUCUGUUCGACUUUUAAUAU
rnacentral:rRNA from 1 species